rnacentral:rRNA from 1 species
AUUGAACGCUGGCGGCAGGCCUAACACAUGCAAGUCGAGCGAGCGGCGGCCGGGUGAGUAAUGUCUGGGAAACUGCCUGAUGGAGGGGGAUAACUACUGGAAACGGUAGCUAAUACCGCAUACCAUCAGAUGUGCCCAGAUGGGAUUAGCUAGUAGGUGGGGUAACGGCUCACCUAGGCGACGAUCCCUAGCUGGUCUGAGAGGAUGACCAGCCACACUGGAACUUGGACACGGUCCAGACUCCGACGAGAGGCAGCAGUGGGGAAUAUUGCACAAUGGGGGCAAGCCUGAUGCAGACAUGCCGCGUGUGUGAAGAAGGCCUUCGGGUUUUAAAGCACUUUCAGCGGGGAGGCGUUACCCGCAGAAGAAGCACCGGCUAACUCCGUGCCAGCAGCCGCGGUAAUUC